rnacentral:lncRNA from 1 species
ACAGGACCUUCUGAUGGGAAGACACAAGGGGGAAAUAUCCACUGAUACUAGACUGCCAUUGAUCAAGGUGUUAAAUCUACACUGCUAUGAUGCCUGAGAUGCCCCAGAACAGAAAUUGAGAGGCUUGGGGCAUGGGCCAAGGUGAGGUACUAACAGGUUGCAAUUGUGCAAACUGGCAAAGUCUGCACAGAUCUGAUCAUCACACGAGUAGUUAGGUGGGGCUGACAGGAUUUGAAGCCAUCUUUAAGAAGUUUCCCUUCCUGCUGGGUAAGAUGUCUGUGGUAGUAAGCCGGCUUAGACCACGUAGAUAAGGGCAAACCAUCUGGGAGGACUGGGGCGACAAUACUGAAGAGUCUUGGCAUCCUGGAAAUAUCUGAGCAGCCAUGUGAACUUGAGCUGUGAGACAACUGCCAAAUUGCAAACCCCAUGAGGUUCUGCUUGGAGUUUAUGUCAACAUAGAUCUUGUCUUUUCUCAGCCUGUUUCCAUCAAAGCAAUGCUUAAUUGAGGGCUGAUCUGGGAUCUGGGAAAGAAGGGGAGAGGGCAGUCAUUCUUUCACUGGAUGCAUUUAAUUUUAC